rnacentral:rRNA from 1 species
UACAGAGACUGCAAGCGUUAUUCGGAUUCACUGGGCGUAAAGGGUGCGCAGGCGGUCGGGUGUGUCAGAUGUGAAAUCCCGAGGCUUAACCUCGGAACUGCGUCUGAAACUACUCGACUAGAGUACUGGAGAGGGUAACGGAAUUCACGGUGUAGCAGUGAAAUGCGUAGAUAUCGUGAGGAACACCAGAGGCGAAGGCGGUUACCUGGACAGUUACUGACGCUCAGGCACGAAAGCAUGGGGAGCAAAAGGG